UUCCGGUUGAUCCUGCCGGAGGCCAUUGCUAUUGGGAUCCGAUUUAGCCAUGCUAGUCGUACGAGUUCACACUCGUGGCGCAUAGCUCAGUAACACGUGGCCAAACUACCCUUCGGAGCACAAUACCCUCGGGAAACUGAGGCUAAUAGUGCAUCGCACAGUUCACCUGGAACGAGAACUGUGUCAAACGUUCCGGCGCCGAAGGACGUGGCUGCGGCCGAUUAGGUAGACGGUGGGGUAAUGGCCCACCGUGCCAAUAAUCGGUACGGGUGGUGAGAGCCAGAACCCGGAGACGGAAUCUGAGACAAGAUUCCGGGCCCUACGGGGCGCAGCAGGCGCGAAACCUUUACACUGCACGCCAGUGCGAUAGGGGGAUCCCAAGUGCACAGGCAUAGUGCCUGUGCUUUUCGGUACCCUAAGGCGGUACCAGAAUAAGGGCUGGGCAAGACCGGUGCCAGCCGCCGCGGUAAUACCGGCAGCCCGAGUGAUGGCCGAUUUUAUUGGGCCUAAAGCGUCCGUAGCUGGCCGCGCAAGUCCAUCGGAAAAUCCACCCGCUCAACGGGUGGGCGACCGGUGGAAACUGCGUGGCUUGGGACCGGAAGGCGCGACGGGUACGUCCGGGGUAGGAGUGAAAUCCCGUAAUCCCGAACGGACCGCCGAUGGCGAAAGCACGUCGCGAAAACGGAUCCGACAGUGAGGGACGAAAGCCAGGGUCUCGAACCGGAUUAGAUACCCGGGUAGUCCUGGCCGUAAACAAUGUCUGCUAGGUGUGGCUCCCGCUACGAGCGGGUGCUGUGCCGCAGGGAAGCCGCUAAGCAGACCGCCUGGGAAGUACGUCCGCAAGGAUGAAACUUAAAGGAAUUGGCGGG
rnacentral:rRNA from 1 species